rnacentral:rRNA from 1 species
GACGAACGCUGGCGGCGUGCUUAACACAUGCAAGUCGAACGGAAAGGCCCUGCUUUUGUGGGGUGCUCGAGUGGCGAACGGGUGAGUAACACGUGAGUAACCUGCCCUUGACUUUGGGAUAACUUCAGGAAACUGGGGCUAAUACCGGAUAGGAGCUCCUGCUGCAUGGUGGGGGUUGGAAAGUUUCGGCGGUUGGGGAUGGACUCGCGGCUUAUCAGCUUGUUGGUGGGGUAGUGGCUUACCAAGGCUUUGACGGGUAGCCGGCCUGAGGGUGACCGGCCACAUUGGGACUGAGAUACGGCCCAGACUCCUACGGGAGGCAGCAGUGGGGAAUAUUGCACAAUUGGCGGAAGCCUGAUGCAGCAACGCCGCGUGCGGGAUGACGGCCUUCGGGUUGUAAACCGCUUUCGCCUGUGACGAAGCGUGAGUGACGGUAAUGGGUAAAGAAGCACCGGCUAACUACGUG